UUUAACUCCACCCACCAUCAUCCUAGCUCCUUCAGCUGUCUGAUCAAAGAGCAAUCUCUCCUUCCUUGGGUUUACAAACUGACCCCACAAAGAAUGGAUGGCCUGUAUAUAAUUUGAUCAACUUGCCACUUUUCACAUGACAAAGUGGUGAACAUGAACAGUUACUUUGCUUUCUUCUGGUCACACGUCUUCCUUAGAACCGGCCAUGCUCUCUGCAGCGGGUAAACAACCAAUGAGGGGAAGUCGCUUCUGGUGGAACCAAAUGCACUGGGUGCUGCCAGAAUACCAAACAUGAAAAUCUAUAAAAGCAUCCGCAGACCAAUGUAGACCGGAUGGGGCUUCUAAUCUUUAGCUUCGUUGUUAGUUGGCACUGCGAUUAAAACACGAUUCUUAGUGUAUAUAACUGUAAGAUACAGCAGCAUGUGAGUAUCACAUAAUAUACCAGCUGUAUACUCCUAGGGUAGAGAUUGUAUUUCUGUCAGCCCAGUAACUACUCUGUCUGGAACCUACUAGUCCGUGGGCCCACCUGGAGAUCAGAGUUUUCUUGCAGGCCAGUCCCACCCUGUUUGUGUGGGAUAAAGUUAACCUAUCUGAAAAUCAAGAUUUGUACAAACUGUCCAGUGCAGAAGUGAGUUUAGCCAUAAAAACGCAUUUCAUGAAAAUUAUCAGCGUGGUCUAUACCAGUGUUUCUUCCUGUGAUGUAUCAUAUAGGUAUACAUGGAAAUAUACAUAUAUUCAUGCAGCGAAUGCAUGGUCUGCUUAAGCAAUAUAGGUAAUAAUUUCCCCAGGGCAGUACACACAGCUACCUAUAGUUUUAUCUUUGACUUGUAGCAGACAUUGUACCUAUAUCGAAUAUCAACCCUACAGUCUGAGAAAUGAACUUGAGCAUACUGACUAAUAUGAAGGAAACAUAAGCUUAUACACUGCCCACUUACCGCUGAGCAGGAAGGGUCCGUAAGGGAUAUUAGUGACCCCUCUCAGCAGGGCCAUCUCUGGGGUCAUUCCUGCAUGAAGGAAUGGAAAGAAUGAAGUGAUUAUUGGGGUAUACUAGUAUUAGUAGUGGGUCAGGCUGGUAAGAGAACAUGUAGCUGUAUAUAGAGCAUAUACUAAGAUGGGGGCUUAAUACCUUCAUUAUAAUGACCAAGUAUAAUCUUGUUGCGACUUUUGGAGAGUAGUAGAAUUAAUGUAUUCUGAUUUAAUAUCAGUGAAUUUUUUUUAACAGACUGUAAAAUAUUGUAUUUUGUUUUAAAGCUAAGCGAUAGAAACAGUGAGUAAGAAGACUUUCCAUCAAGAGUGCAAGUGGCUUCUAUUCCUGUUUAGCUUACAAACUGCAUGUCCCUGCAGCGGCUAUAAAGUGCACGAAAAAUUCCUAUUGUAAAUUGUUGGGGGUACGAUUACCUCUAAUUAAACUCGUCUCUAUUUCCACACAUACAACCGAUUUAAAAAACAAAAUCGUUUCGUUCUUUUCCUUCCCAUGGAUUCCUUAGCUCAGUCACUAUAACAAGACGUUUUCAUAGGAAACAUUCUAUGUUGUAUAGGGGAGGGCCAGGUGUUGAUACCAACCUCCCGCCCAUAUAUAUCUGUAUAGAUAAAAAAAUACUACCAAUACUAUAUGCAGUUAUAACCCCUGCCAUUUAUUCCUGUUCGUUUAUUAUCAUUCUGCCUUUAGCAUUGUAUGUGUCAAUACAAUUGUUGUAAUUUAUCAGUGUAACAAUACUGCAUAUAUUUAUAAGGUAUCAUUUAUCUGCCUCUAUGUGUUUGAAUAGUAUACUAAUUGAUCUCUGUAGUUGUUUGCAUCAAUCCUGUACCUAUACAGGUGAGCACCGUACAGUAGAGAGUACUUGCCAUAUCUUGCUUACUUUGACAAAUCUCUAGUUGCUCCGGAAUGGCCGAGCAUCUCACGCCGGGCGGCAGCGGCAGCACAAUCCCGGCUGAACUGGUAAGUAACAAUAGUGAUAGUUUGGCACUAAGCAAGUGGAAUCGGCUGCACCUGCAAUUGCUGUGGAAUAAGGUUUAUAGGGGACCUGAUGAAGUUGGGAUGAUUUGCGUUCCCUACAGCAUAUCUAUCAGGGGGCGGAGGUUACACAGAAUCUUGGAACCCAACAGUCACUCGCAGCAUCGAACUGAUUUACGUGAGCUCAAUAAGUUUCCGAUUACUGGGACCUUGGCGCGCAGCUGGCAGUGCUAGUACUGACGUGAUUUACGUUCAUGGUCAAGUUCAUGGUCUAUAGCAGCUCUCUGCCCUAAGUACAUUCAUUGUUAGAGCCCUGUGCACUGACUUGAUAAAGCUAAUGUUUGUGCGCCCUUAGGUGGAUGGUCGCUAUCUGCACCUGCAGCAUGUGGUAUUUCUAUAGGAGAAUACUCAAAUGUUCUUUGCGGUGACUGAUUAUUUUGAGGGAUGGAAGUCAUAGAUCGCCCUUGCAGAAAUUGUGUGCAUACACUAUCAUUUAAUUUUCUGCAAGUAGGUUUCGCUUUGCUUCAAUCCUACAUCCAUUCGGUGCAAAAUGUCUAAAAUAUGUUAGAACUGCAAAGAUUAAAUAAUAAAGAGUCACAUUUACAAUCUUACUUUAAUCAGAGUUUGAGAAUGUAUAUUUCCUGCUUCAUACUAUCACCAUAAUUGCACAGGAAUCAUUUUCAGUCCUCUGGCAGCCAACUGUCAUGGCUACUGCAGCUCCUCUGUGUAUACUUAGAAGAUAUUUCACCUCUCAACAAUUAAAAUUGGGUUUUUACUGUGAUUUUUAACACAAUUCUUAACCUAGUUAUCUGUGUUUGGUAGGCGCAGGUUUCCAGACCAUCUAUUUAAUCACUAUUGAGUUUGCAUAAUUGGAUCAUGCACGUACAAGGGAAUACAAAUGUGCUGCAGUACCUGGUAAAAAGCAUGAGCCGAGCUCUAAACAGUCCUGUGUGCGUCUCACAAAACACAAAGUUAUCACGUAAAUCUAAUGUUUGCAUUGAAUUACCCAAUACUAUAAACAUGCACACAUACUUGACAUGUCAGAAAAGAUAGACCCAAGCACUUAUUGGCUUCUACCUAUACACCGUAUAUUACUUUUAUUUUGCCUGACCUUAAAUAUUCCUGCUCCUGUUGCAUCUUUAGAAAGCUGACUCUGGAAUUACCAUAAAUGCAUAAAUCUUCUGAUACUUCCCAACGCAUGUUACUGUAACGUUCAUUCCCCCGUUUUUCUAAAUGUAUCAGUUGCCAAACCUUCAAAUACAGACAAAACAAACCCAUAUAGAAAGAAUAAUCUGGUGUCUUUUUGGUGUUUGAUGUCGCAAGUUCAACACAUUUUAUUAGAGGUCUGUAUGCAUUACUUUUAAAACAUGUCACAAAAAUGAAGAGACCACAUAAAAUAAAAAAAAAAAA